AUGCCCAAGUGGACCAUGGGAGGGAGGGCCGACGCCGGGGCCGAUGCCAUAGCGCACGAAGCUCCGGUGCAGGUUUCACCUACGCCGGAGCAGGUGACUCCUCUGCCACACCAUCUGCCUCCUCUGCCACGCCAUCUGCCUCCUCUGCCGCAGCCCGUGGUCAACAUCGACGGCGACGACGACAAAGAAGAGGUAGCUGCUCUGGCUCCUCAGACGGAGCAUGUGUCUCCUCUGCCACGGGUGACGCCUCCUGUGCCCGAGCCUGUGGUCGUCGGCGAUGUCAACAAAGAAGACCCUCAGCCGGGUGUUCGUCUGCUGCGGUUGUUGCCUCCCCUGCCCCCACCUGUGGUCGUCGCCGACGAGAACGAAGAAGAGGUAGCUGCUCUUGCUCCUCAGACAGAGCAGGUCCUAAGUGACGACGUUGACAGCGACCUAGAAACCCAGAGGAUCUUCAGGAGGCAGAAGGUGAGGCAGCUGGACAGUGGUGAGCUCGAGAAAGUUGUGAGUCCUAGAUUAGGAAACGGCUACGGAUGCCCUUACUACAACAAGGUGAUGAAAGGCGACCUGUCGAGUACCAUCAACCAUGCAGUUGGAACAUCCCAAGGCAGCACCAAGAAUGGCUAUGCUUUCAGUUUGAACGUAUGCCGACUACUUAAUGAGUCUUCUUUG
rnacentral:rRNA from 1 species